rnacentral:rRNA from 1 species
AGGACGAACGCUGGCGGCGUGCUUAACACAUGCAAGUCGAGCGGAAAGGCCCUUCGGGGUACUCGAGCGGCGAACGGGUGAGUAACACGUGAGCAACCUGCCCUUAGCUCUGGGAUAGCUCCGGGAAACCGGAAUUAAUACCGGAUAUGACCUAGGCCGACAUCGGCCGUGGUGGAAAGUUUUUCGGCUAGGGAUGGACUCGCGGCCUAUCAGCUAGUUGGUGGGGUAAUGGCCUACCAAGGCGACGACGGGUAGCCGGCCUGAGAGGGCGACCGGCCACACUGGGACUGAGACACGGCCCAGACUCCUACGGGAGGCAGCAGUGGGGAAUCUUGCGCAAUGGGCGAAAGCCUGACGCAGCGACGCCGCGUGGGGGAUGAAGGCCUUCGGGUUGUAAACCCCUUUCAGCAGGGACGAUAGUGACGGUACCUGCAGAAGAAGCACCGGCCAACUACGUGCCAGCAGCCGC